AAGGGUUAAUAUUGCUUGGCUGUAAAACGCAACAAUAUCUCAGUUCAAUUAAGUUUUGUUUUUUGUUUUUGGCUGGAUCAGUGUGAGGAUAGGAUAUUGAAAAUAUAAUUUUUAAGCAGUAGUUACAGUACCUGAAGUAACGAGAUUCACAUUUAGCCAUCGGUUUGAAGUUUUAAGUCGAUACAAGUACACAGUGCAACCUUAGACUCUCCAGCCAAUGUUGAGAGAGCAGCAUCAUCAAACAUUCAUGAGCGAGAAAGAACGUCUGAGGGAAACUCUGAACGAGUGGAAACAGCAAAAGAGGCGGCGAUUCGAACAAAUGUAAAUGGCACCAAUCUGGAUGAGCUGUCGAGCCUGGGGGCCAUGAAGCAUAACUAUGCCUGCUUGGCGCUUCUGACCUUGGGCAACUCCAGAGUGGAAGAGAGUCCAACCCAUCUCGAGAAGAACAGUACUAGGGCCCAAGGUAUUCGUGGAGGUCAGCCCGAUCACAUCUCGUCGGAACUUUUCGACCUCGCACACCAGCUCGGGCUCCUUCCCUGCAAGAGAGGGCCUGGACAACAGCUGUCUGCAUCAUUCUGAUCUCUUCGUAUGACUCAAGGCUGCUGCCGUGAUCUCCAACUGAUCUGUGGAUUUGCAGAUUAAAGACACACUCUACGGCCCGGUCAUGGCCGACCGGCACCCUAAUCCACUUCCUGUCACAAUGUGCAGCUUGGGUCUGAUGUGUUAACGCAUCUGGUUGUGAGUCUGUAACACGCAAAUCUUCACGUUUCGUUUUGGAACAGUAAAUGACACAUUUAAUAAUAAAGUGUUCAUUGUAGGCAUAGUCCUCAACCCUCUUCUUAAUAAUCCUUAAGGGAAUGUCAAUAAAGCGGCAUGGUCUCUGCUUGUAUUGAUUAGAACGUGUCUUGUUGGCCAGGCUGGGCCAGCCGCGAUAAUGCCGAUUGUCAUUUUUCACUGCUCUCGAUAGCCCCGCGUGCCGGAAAAGAUGAAGUUUCAACUCUCCAAUGAUGAAUCCAUUUCAAUUACCCCUCAUAUGAUCAAUCAUAUUCUCAUUAUUGUCCGAAGCAUGGCCCGCAGCUGUACAGGCGAGAUUACAAGUCAGGCUUCCAAAUUGAAGUUUUAUUGCCGAAGUCCCAGUGAAAUAUAUUUUCGAGUCUCGUAAGCGGAUUCAGAGGCGUUGGUAUGAACUGCCAGUUGGUAGGAACAGUGCUACGCUAUUAUUGUUCUUGUAUGAAAAAAAAAACAAUUGCAAGGCACCAACUAUGGAACCAUACCAGGAAAACAAUUGUCAAAGGUACUUUUUCAUUUUCAGUUUCUCUUUCAACACCAAUGUACCACACUGUGUGGAUAAAACAUACUCCCCAGUGUUCCUAGAUGAAAUUUGCCAGGCUAAAACAGUUUUAAAUGUUUUGGUACUCCAAUCGUGCUUCAUGUGCUGUUUCACUGGCGACAUGAGGUGCAUAGUCAUAAGAUGCCAGACAGACCAUAUGGUGAAAAUACUGUAUGAAUACAGCCCGUAGAGGCUACGUCGGUCCACUUUCUCGUGCGGUUUAUCACCUACUGGACGAGCCGAGGAAGUCGGGUGCGCAGAAAGCUAGCGGUCGAAUGCGAAAUGAUCCUUGGUUACAGAAGCUGGCUUUAGGGACUUGGAAUGUCAACUCUGUGCUCCACCUGCCUCCGUUCCGGUGGCGCACGUAUUGCGCCCGCCAAUCGUCCCUGUUGAGGCGGCGCACGUCCUGCGGCUGCCACCUGUUCCUGUUGCGGCGGCACACGUCCUAGGGCUGCCACCUGUUCCUGUUGCGGCGGCACACGUGCUGUGGCUGCCACAUGUUCCUGUUGCGGUGGCGCACAUCCUGUUCU